GCCUAGAUAGCUCAGUUGGUUAGAGUGUGGUGUUAAUAAUGCCAAGGUUGCAGGUUCAAUCCCUGCACGGGAAAGCUGCA